GACGAACGCUGGCGGCGCGCUUAACACAUGCAAGUCGAACGGAAAGGCCUGCUUUCCCUUGUGGAUUGCGGGUACUCGAGUGGCGAACGGGUGAGUAACACGUGAGUGAUCUGCCCCCAACUUGGGUAUAAGCCUGGGAAACUGGGUCUAAUUCCCGAUAGGACUGCAGGGUGGUGCCUGUGGUGGAAAACGAUUUUCUAGUGGUUGGGGAUGAGCUCGCGGCCUAUCAGCUUGUUGGUGGGGUAAUGGCCUACCAAGGCGGCGACGGAUAGCCGGCCUGAGAGGGUGGACGGCCACAUUGGGACUGAGAUACGGCCCAGACUCCUACGGGAGGCAGCAGUGGGGAAUAUUGCACAAUGGGCGGAAGCCUGAUGCAGCGACGCCGCGUGGGGGAUGACGGCCUUCGGGUUGUAAACUCCUUUCGACCGCGAGGAAGCCACCUGGUUGGAAGGGUGGUGACGGUAGUGGUAGAAGAAGCACCGGCUAACUACGUG
rnacentral:rRNA from 1 species